GACGAACGCUGGCGGCGUGCUUAACACAUGCAAGUCGAACGGCAAGGCCCUGCUUUUGUGGGGUGCUCGAGUGGCGAACGGGUGAGUAACACGUGAGUAACCUGCCCUUGACUUUGGGAUAACUUCAGGAAACUGGGGCUAAUACCGUAUAGGAGCUCCUGCUGCAUGGUGGGGGUUGGAACGUUUCGGCGGUUGGGGAUGGACUCGCGGCUUAUCAGCUUGUUGGUGGGGUAGUGGCUUACCCAGGCUUUGGCGGGUAGCCGGCCGGGGAGGGUGACCGGCCACAUUGGGACUGAGAGACGGCCCAGACUCCUACGGGAGGCAGCAGUGGGGAAUAUUGCACAAUGGGCGGAAGCCUGAUGCAGCAACGCCGCGUGCGGGAUGACGGCCUUCGGGUUGUAAACCGCUUUCGCCUGUGACGAAGCGGGAGUGACGGUAAUGGGUAAAGAAGCACCGGCUAACUACGUG
rnacentral:rRNA from 1 species